rnacentral:piRNA from 1 species
UCAAAGGGUUGAAAACACACAGCCGCGUU